rnacentral:misc_RNA from 1 species
CAGAGUUACGUUGCCCUCCGGGGUAUACCUCCCACCCUUGUGUAUUCUCUACAUCUUGUUGCUUUGGCGGGCCCGUUCCUCGGACCACCGGCUCUCGGCUGGUCAGUGCCCUGCCAGAGGACCUCAAACUCUGUUUGUCAUAUGUCGUCUGAGUACCUAUAUAAUCGUUA